rnacentral:rRNA from 1 species
AAAUGUAGCUUGCUACUUAACCUAGCGGCGGACGGGUGAGUAAUGCUUAGGAAUCUGCCUAUUAGUGGGGGACAACAUCUCGAAAGGGAUGCUAAUACCGCAUACGUCCUACGGGAGAAAGCAGGGGACCUUCGGGCCUUGCGCUAAUAGAUGAGCCUAAGUCGGAUUAGCUAGUUGGUGGGGUAAAGGCCUACCAAGGCGACGAUCUGUAGCGGGUCUGAGAGGAUGAUCCGCCACACUGGGACUGAGACACGGCCCAGACUCCUACGGGAGGCAGCAGUGGGGAAUAUUGGACAAUGGGGGGAACCCUGAUCCAGCCAUGCCGCGUGUGUGAAGAAGGCCUUUUGGUUGUAAAGCACUUUAAGCGAGGAGGAGGCUACCGAGAUUAAUACUCUUGGAUAGUGGACGUUACUCGCAGAAUAAGCACCGGCUAACUCUGUGCCAGCAGCCGCGGUAAUACAGAGGGUGCAAGCGUUAAUCGGAUUUACUGGGCGUAAAGCGCGCGUAGGUGGCCAAUUAAGUCAAAUGUGAAAUCCCCGAGCUUAACUUGGGAAUUGCAUUCGAUACUGGUUGGCUAGAGUAUGGGAGAGGAUGGUAGAAUUCCAGGUGUAGCGGUGAAAUGCGUAGAGAUCUGGAGGAAUACCGAUGGCGAAGGCAGCCAUCUGGCCUAAUACUGACACUGAGGUGCGAAAGC